rnacentral:tRNA from 1 species
GCGGCGGUGGUAUAGGGGUUGUGCCCGAGGUUUCCACCCUCGAGAGGACGGUUCGAAUCCGUUCCGCCGCUCCA